rnacentral:rRNA from 1 species
GAUGAACGCUAGCGAUAGGCUUAACACACGCAAGUCGAGGGGCAGCACAAGGUAGCUUGCUAUCUGGGUGGCGACCGGCGCACGGGUGCGUAACGCGUAUGCAACUUGCCCUAUACAGGAGGAUAACCCGUCGAAAGACGGACUAAUACUGCGUAUGCUCACAACUUGGCAUCAAGAAGUGAGGAAAGAAAUCCGGUAUAGGAUAGGCAUGCGUCCCAUUAGCUUGUUGGUGAGGUAACGGCUCACCAAGGCAACGAUGGGUAGGGGAACUGAGAGGUUUAUCCCCCACACUGGUACUGAGACACGGACCAGACUCCUACGGGAGGCAGCAGUGAGGAAUAUUGGUCAAUGGGCGAGAGCCUGAACCAGCCAAGUCGCGUGAAGGAUGACUGUCUUAUGGAUUGUAAACUUCUUUUAUACGGGAAUAACAAGGGUCACGUGUGACCCCCUGCAUGUACCGUAUGAAUAAGCAUCGGCUAACUCCGUGCCAGCAGCCGCGGUAAUACGGAGGAUGCGAGCGUUAUCCGGAUUUAUUGGGUUUAAAGGGUGCGUAGGCGGUUUGUUAAGUCAGCGGUGAAAUCUAGAGGCUCAACCUCGAAACUGCCGUUGAAACUGGCGAACUUGAGUGUAGAUGAGGUAGGCGGAAUUCGUGGUGUAGCGGUGAAAUGCAUAGAUAUCACGAGGAACUCCGAUUGCGAAGGCAGCUUACUAAGGUACAACUGACGCUGAAGCACGAAAGCGUGGGUAUCAAACAGGAUUAGAUACCCUGGUAGUCCACGCAGUAAACGAUGUCGAUUAACUGUUGGGCAGCAUGACUGCUUAGUAUCGAAGCUAACGCGUGAAAUCGACCGCCUGGGGAGUACGGUCGCAAGAUUAAAACUCAAAGGAAUUGACGGGGACCCGCACAAGCGGUGGAUGAUGUGGAUUAAUUCGAUGCAACGCGAAGAACCUUACCUGGUCUUGACAUGUACGGAAUCCUCCAGAGACGGAGGAGUGCCUUCGGGAGCCGUAACACAGGUGCUGCAUGGCUGUCGUCAGCUCGUGUCGUGAGAUGUUGGGUUAAGUCCCGCAACGAGCGCAACCCUUGUCAUUAGUUGCCAUCAUUAAGUUGGGCACUCUAAUGAGACUGCCGGUGACAACCCGGAGGAAGGUGGGGAUGACGUCAAGUCCUCAUGGCCCUUAUGACCAGGGCUUCACACGUCAUACAAUGGUCGGUACAGAGGGUAGCCAAGCCGCGAGGUGGAGCCAAUCUCACAAAACCGAUCGUAGUCCGGAUUGCACUCUGCAACUCGAGUGCAUGAAGUCGGAAUCGCUAGUAAUCGCAGGUCAGCAUACUGCGGUGAAUACGUUCAAAGGGUCU